AGUUAAACUUUAACUAUCUUAAUAAAUAAAUAAAAUGGAACAUAUUAUUAUUAAAAAAAUUUAAAACUUUACAAUAACUUAAAAAAUAGAGUAAAUUCGAACUCCAAUUAGAAACUCAACACACUUUCUGUCAAAAAAGUUUCUGUCAAAAAAGUUGACUGAAAGAUGAGCUGCUGUAUUAAAUGAAACCCCACGAUCUUUUUGUAAGUGCGGGCCAAGGCUCAGCCAGGUGUCUUACAGCUAGGAGAGGAAGGGCUGCAAGGUCGGUGAAUCUGGCUCAGUGAUUUGAUGGGUUCUGGGUUUGGUUGCGUUUAUGGCAAAAAAACUAGCUACAUUGGGGAGGGAGGACUCGGAAUGAUUUGCCGCCUCACUUGUUUUUGUUGGACAAAGCAAUCCACCGGGGUUUCUUUGAUCAAUGUUAUGUCACGCACUCACAAUGCCACCCAUGUGAAAAUUUAUCAACUUCUCGAGAUGAAUUUCGAUAAGUAUUUUUAUCACGGUAAAUUUUGAAUAAGUUGAAAUUAAUAUGGGAUUGUGUGAGAUAAAAAUACAGAAAUUUUUUAUGUUUUUGUAAGAGUUGAUUUGUGGAUGACAUGGUUGAGUACAGCUCAAACAUGGAAUGCUCUUGAGCCGUGCCCAUGAGUGUGCAUGAGACUAUGAUACAUGAGGAUCUUAUGUUUUUGGUUUGAAUGUCCGUACCGAAGUUUUCUCCAACUUUGACCAAACACAUCGAUUUACAUCAUCACAAUUUGUUAAAAAAAAAAAAAACCGUUAAUUAUAAGGAGUGGAGCAACAUUAUUUUGGGAAAUUCACACAUUUCAAAUUACUUCUUCCAUAGUUUUUUUAAUUUUUU
rnacentral:lncRNA from 1 species